GCGCGAAAACUUUACAAUGCGGGAAACCGUGAUAAGGGAACUCCGAGUGCCCGUAAAAUCGGGCUGUCCACCAGUUUAAAUAACUGGUGAAGAAAGGGCCGGGCAAGACCGGUGCCAGCCGCCGCGGUAAUACCGGCGGCUCGAGUGGUGGCCACUAUUACUGGGCUUAAAGCGUUCGUAGCUGGUCUGUUAAGUCUCUGGGGAAAUCUGCUGGCUUAACCAACAGGCGUCUCAGGGAUACUGGCAGACUAGGGACCGGGAGAGGUGAGAGGUACUCCAGGGGUAGGAGUGAAAUCCUGUAAUCCUUGGGGGACCACCUGUGGCGAAGGCGUCUCACCAGAACGGCUCCGACAGUGAGGGACGAAAGCUGGGGGAGCAAACCGGAUUAGAUACCCGGGUAGUCCCAGCCGUAAACUAUGCGCGUUAGGUGUAUCGGUGACCACGAGUCAUCGAGGUGCCGAAGAGAAAUCGUGAAACGUGCCGCCUGGGAAGUACGGUCGCAAGGCUGAAACUUAAAGGAAUUGG
rnacentral:rRNA from 1 species